rnacentral:rRNA from 1 species
AUUGAACGCUGGCGGCAGGCUUAACACAUGCAAGUCGAACGAGCGGCGGACGGGUGAGUAAUGUCUGGGCAACUGCCUGAUGGAGGGGGAUAACUACUGGAAACGGUAGCUAAUACCGCAUACCAUCAAAUGUGCCCAGAUGGGAUUAGCUUGUUGGUGGGGUAACGGCUCACCAAGUCGACGAUCCCUAGCUGGUCUGAGAGGAUGACCGGCCACACUGGAACUGAGACACGGGCCAGACUCCUACGGGAGGCAGCAGUGGGGAAUAUUGCACAAUGGGCGCAAGCCUGAUGCAGCCAUGCCGCGUGUGUGAAGAAGGCCUUCGGGUUGUAAAGCACUUUCAGCGGGGAGGCGUUACCCGCAGAAGAAGCACCGGCUAACUCCGUGCCAGCAGCCGCGGUAAUAC